rnacentral:tRNA from 1 species
UGGGGUGUAGCCAAGUGGUAAGGCAUCAGACUCUGAAUCUGACAUUCCUUGGUUCGAAUCCAAGUACCCCAGCCA